UCUGACUGGGUCUCCCCUUCUUUCUUUUCCAGGGGUGCACCAACUGUGUUCCGUGUGGUCACAUGACCUGGGUCAGUCUCACGCCAGCCGUUCCCUGGAAGUCACCCGGGGUAGACCGAGUAUCCCCUUUGCACGUGGGGCUGUGCCGACGGAGGCCUUCUUCAGCACGAGUCCUCAGUUGACUGAUGAAUACAAAACGCCUCUGGGAACAAAAGGCAUUCAAGAUUCGCUGAAGACAAGACAACCUACUUUGGUUUCUGUGUCUGGUACCGGGGUAUCAGCGGAGAUAAAGCCCUGAGUGACAGGGAAGCGAAAUACAGAAUAACACCCUCCAUUGUUCUCCCAUUGACGGUACGUAUAAUGGGAAAGUUAGCGAGUCACCGUAAUGUCAUGGACCGCUGUGAACUUGGGAGAACUCAAGGAUCAGAAAGUAACAUGAAACAAGGAGGGAAAGCAAGAUAAUAUUGGGUUACUGAACAUUCUCAAAUUGUACUGAAACGCAUCCCAUCCCUUUGGAGGGGGCAUGUUUUUGACCAGGAAGACAAUGGGCAGAAACUGGCGGCUGUAACGAUAUCACCAUUUUCUUUUGCUACGGGCCGUAAUGUGAACUCCUUAGAAGACACCUUCUUUCACCACAGCUUUGUUGUUGGGGCUAUUGAGGAGCCCAGAGACCAAAGUCGCUGCCUUGUUCCGGGAUCAUCUAAAACCAAGGAGGCUGG
rnacentral:lncRNA from 1 species